GUGCUAGUGAGCACAGAACAGAUACCUGAAGGAUGGGAUAAAUUAUGUGGACUGGAGUGGCUGUUGCAGGUGGGAGAGACCACUGCAUUAACAACUUCCAGUUUCAUCCUACAAACCAGGGAGAAUUUUAUGUCCUCACAACAGGAAACUUUAAAGAAGCAGUUCUGCUUGGGUUUUAUGUGUUUUCCAUUGUCACAUCAUCAUCAGAAACAAAAACACAGGAGCUGGUAAAUAAAUGGUAGCAGAAGAGAUAUUCUUUUACUGAGAUUUUAUUUUGCAGAAGCAUAAUCCAUCACUGGCUGUUUUCAUUUCUAGGGGAUGGUGAAUCUGAUGUGCUUGAGUAAGCACUCGUGUUCUUGAGUCAAAGAUUUCAUCACUAAAUAAAACUAAUCUGAAGACU